UACGUAGGGGGCAAGCGUUGUCCGGAAUUAUUGGGCGUAAAGAGCGCGUAGGCGGCCCAGUAAGUCCGCUCUGAAAGUCAGAGGCUCAACCUCUGGAUGCGGGUGGAUACUGCUGGGCUAGAGUCCGGAAGAGGCGAGUGGAAUUCCUGGUGUAGCGGUGAAAUGCGCAGAUAUCAGGAGGAACACCGAUGGCGAAGGCAGCUCGCUGGGACGGUACUGACGCUGAGGCGCGAAAGCGUGGGGAGCGAACAGG
rnacentral:rRNA from 1 species